UACGAAGGUCCCAAGCGUUAUCCGGAUUUAUUGGGUUUAAAGGGUGCGUAGGCGGGCUAUUAAGUCAGUGGUGAAAGCCCCCAGCUUAACUUGGGAACUGCCAUUGAUACUGAUGGUCUUGAGUACAUUUGAGGUGGGCGGAAUGUGUCAUGUAGCGGUGAAAUGCUUAGAUAUGACACAGAACACCGAUUGCGAAGGCAGCUCACUAAACUGUAACUGACGCUGAGGCACGAAAGCGUGGGGAGCAAACAGG
rnacentral:rRNA from 1 species